GUAUCCAACCUUCCGUACACUCAGGGAUAGCCUUUCGAAAGAAAGAUUAAUACCUGAUGGUAUGAUGAGAUUGCAUGAUAGCAUCAUUAAAGAUUUAUCGGUGUACGAUGGGGAUGCGUUCCAUUAGGUAGUAGGCGGGGUAACGGCCCACCUAGCCAACGAUGGAUAGGGGUUCUGAGAGGAAGGUCCCCCACAUUGGAACUGAGACACGGUCCAAACUCCUACGGGAGGCAGCAGUGAGGAAUAUUGGUCAAUGGACGAGAGUCUGAACCAGCCAAGUAGCGUGAAGGAUGAAGGUCCUACGGAUUGUAAACUUCUAUUAUAAGGGAAUAAACCCUCCCACGUGUGGGAGCUUGUAUGUACCUUAUGAAUAAGCAUCGGCUAACUCCGUGCCAGCAGCCGCGGUAAUACGGAGGAUGCGAGCGUUAUCCGGAUUUAUUGGGUUUAAAGGGAGCGCAGACGGGUCGUUAAGUCAGCUGUGAAAGUUUGGGGCUCAACCUUAAAAUUGCAGUUGAUACUGGCGUCCUUGAGUGCGGUUGAGGUGUGCGGAAUUCGUGGUGUAGCGGUGAAAUGCUUAGAUAUCACGAAGAACUCCGAUUGCGAAGGCAGCACACUAAUCCGUAACUGACGUUCAUGCUCGAAAGUGUGGGUAUCAAACAGGAUUAGAUACCCUG
rnacentral:rRNA from 1 species